GAAUUUUUAAAAUCUAUUUAUUAUCAUGAAAGUGAUUUUCUAAAGGAAGGGAAUGAGAUUUAAUAUUUUAUUCCAUUUCAAUUUUCAAAAUGUUAUAUUUAAACUCCGGGUUAUUGUGUUAUUGGUAUAUAAUUGUUUCUUCAAAAUUGAGUUUCAUAUAUUAUUUUGAAAAAUUCUAAAUGAUUAUUAUGUGAUUAUAUUAUCGAGAGUCAGUGUAUUUUAUUUCUAUUGGAUUGUUGAGCUGUGUUAUCGAUUUGCAUUUGUUAUGGAUUUUAUACUGAUUUAAUUAUAUAAAAUGGUGUAUUGCAUAUAAAAUCAUUUUUUUUUUAUCGCUUUAUGAUUUCAUUAAAUAUUUUUAGAGAUUUAUAAAAUUCAUAAAACAAUAUUUUGAUAAUUCUUCAGCUCUAAAUGAUUUUCCGUAUAGAUUCAAGUGGGGUCUUUCUAUUUAUUUCAAAAAUGAUCUAAAAAUCAUGAAAAUCAUAUUUUAUUAGUUUUUAAAUAUUUUAAGAUUUUUAAAACUCUUUCGGUAUUUAUCUGGAUCAUUUUAUCUGUGAGUUGUUCGUUAAUUUGUUCGGAACCAGGCUAGCCAGAAGGGGACACGCGUUAUGUUUUUAACUAAACUACGAUACGUGUCUGGUUCCUACACUUUCAGUAUAUAAAACUUUUAUUUUUUUUUUAUUGUUAAUCUCUCCACCUCACCUCAUCUCUCUCAAUCUCUCGCUCUUCUCUCUCUCUGAAAUCUCUCUCCCGUAAUCUCUCUCUCGGAUUUCCUCUCCCUCGCACAAUCUCCUCUUACUCGAUCUCUCUCCACUCUCACUUUCCGACGCCGCCAUUUACCGCCCCAGUCGCCGCUGGUUCCUCGUUUUCCGGCCGCCCCUGCUUCCAGUCGCCGCGCUGCUCCGACCCCGGGCACCACCGGCUUCAAUCUCUCCCUCUUCCUCCGGAUCGAGCAUUGAGAGCGUGCUACCAAGCAAAGGCAGGAAAAGGUGAGAGUUGUAUAGCGGUUCAGUAGUUACAGAUUGUUCGAGACAAAUAGAACCAGACGUUGGGGAUCAAGAUUAAAGUUAGAUAAGAUUUCGUAUCAGGCUGCAGCAACCGCAUGAGCGACAUAGCAAAGAAUCAGGAAUAGUUGAUGGUGAUGUCUUGAGAAAGCAGAAUAAGAUAAGGAUGUUAGCUAAGAGUGUAUAAGCUAAGGACCAAAGCUAAGGCUAGAGAUGGAUUAUCAGAUUAGGCUGCGUAUGAGAGUGAUGCUAAGCUGCAAGGAUUCUAAGUGGUUAAGUACAUCAGAGAUCAGGUUGUUUGUUUUCUGAUUUCAAUACUGUAACCUGGAUGCGAUCCUGUUUUUAGGGGGUUAAAGUGUUUCCUUUUAAACCUUUUAUUAAUGCUUUCAGGUUUUAAAUUAUUUGGUUUUCAGAAAUAUAGUUUUUCAAAAGUGUUUUAAAAGGUUCAAAAGUGUCUUUCUUCAAAACCUUAUAUAGAAAAGAAAAAAAAAAAAAACCUCAGGGUUUUGAAAUGUUUGUUAUUACUUUCUUUCAAAAAAAAAAAUAAAAAAAAAAAAUUACAGAUUUUAAAUUGUUUUUCUUUUAGUGGCACCAAAUCCAGACCCCCGGAUUUGCGGGCUGUCACAGUUGGUAUCAGAGCUACAGGUUAUAAGUUAUUGAAAUCAGAAUGUAGGUUGUAUUAGGAUUGUGUUUAGUGGGACCUCAACUAGAGAUAAGUCAAGACUAUUUGGUAUAGUCUUUGUUGAUAGAAUUGAGGUAGAUAUUGGAGCAUUGAUUUCAAGUAAUCAUUUGGGAUAUCCUAGUUUCUAAUUCGAGAACUAGUGAGUUGGAUUUCAGGGACAUGAUGGAACCUUUAGUUUUCAAUCUUUUUGAACUUGAGUUUGACUUUUUGAGUAACCAGAGGCAGCUAGACUUGUGUAUUGACCUAUCUAGUCUUGAGUGUUCCUUGUCAUCUCUACCACUUUUUGAGUAUUUGUUCGAGGGUCAUCUAUUAUUCUUAUGAAGUCAUAUAGAAGGAAUAUGAGAUUUGAUGGAUCAUUGUGAGAGGCCAGGUGUAUAGUUCUUUAUUUGAAAAUUAUAUAGAAAGAGUGGUAGACUACUCGAUAUAGUAUUAUGAGUAGGUUACAACCUCAAUGCUCUACACUGCUGAUUGUGCAAAGUUGGAUAUGACUUCUGAAAGUACCAAGCUCGACAGGUGUUCUACCUAACGUGGAUAUGGGUGACGGGAUCUACGAAGGUGAAUAUAAGUUAAUAAUAUAUAUCGUAGAAUCGAAACGAGUUAUCAGAAAAAUCGAUCGAGAAGACAUAUGUGAUAGCCUUGGCAAUACCAUCCUCAAUAUUGAUUUUAUUGAGCAUUUUCACAGUUAGUGAAUUGUUUUAAUAUCUCUUCUAUAAAGACAUUCAUGAAGUCCCUUUGUCAAAAAUUUGUAUCUUUGGAAGCUAUUCGAUUUCAACUCUUAAGGUUCAUAUUAAAGAUUCAUUUCUUAAAAGUCAAUCAUUGUUGGUUGAUUUUAAAAUUUUCAUAUUUUCCACUCUAACUGAGAUGAACAACCCUACUAUAGGGGGCACAAGGACUAUCUGUCUGUGUGAUAGAAGUUUGAUGGGACGCCAUCACUUGUGUGUGUUGUGAUUACAAGAAGGCUGAUAACCUUUAGUAGUGUCUAAUAUGGGCACGCAACACUAAGUUCGUUGGAUCAUAUUGAUCUCUCAGUCACUCGUUUAUUCAGAUGAAACCUAUUUUGAAAACAUUUUUGUUUUAUGGCCAAAUUCUCAAAGAAUUAUUCCGGAAAGUUAAUUCUGCAUUUGCGAAAAUUUUAAGAUUCCUAUACCCUUAAAGUUGAGGGUAUGCCAAGGUUAAUCAAUAGUGGAUGACGAUACGAUAUUGCGAAGCGUGUAUGUUUUAGUUCUCUUCGCGGAUUCUGAGGACAGAAUCCUUAUAAGGGGGGUUGAAUGUAAUAUCCUAGAUUUUUAAUUCAGAUAUGAUUAUUAUAGGUCUAAUUUGUUUAUAUAUUAUGGUUGUCUUUAAUUGAAUAUUGUGUGAUGGUCUAUAUAUGUUUCGUGGAUUAGUAGAUUACGUGUCCUCCUUCUUUCUUUGAUUCCGAGGACGGAAUCCUUAUAAGGAGGGUAGAUUGUAAUGACCUGAAUUUUUAAAAUCUAUUUAUUAUCAUGAAAGUGAUUUUCUAAAGGAAGGGAAUGAGAUUUAAUAUUUUAUUCCAUUUCAAUUUUCAAAAUGUUAUAUUUAAACUCCGGGUUAUUGUGUUAUUGGUAUAUAAUUGUUUCUUCAAAAUUGAGUUUCAUAUAUUAUUUUGAAAAAUUCUAAAUGAUUAUUAUGUGAUUAUAUUAUCGAGAGUCAGUGUAUUUUAUUUCUAUUGGAUUGUUGAGCUGUGUUAUCGAUUUGCAUUUGUUAUGGAUUUUAUACUGAUUUAAUUAUAUAAAAUGGUGUAUUGCAUAUAAAAUCAUUUUUUUUUUAUCGCUUUAUGAUUUCAUUAAAUAUUUUUAGAGAUUUAUAAAAUUCAUAAAACAAUAUUUUGAUAAUUCUUCAGCUCUAAAUGAUUUUCCGUAUAGAUUCAAGUGGGGUCUUUCUAUUUAUUUCAAAAAUGAUCUAAAAAUCAUGAAAAUCAUAUUUUAUUAGUUUUUAAAUAUUUUAAGAUUUUUAAAACUCUUUCGGUAUUUAUCUGGAUCAUUUUAUCUGUGAGUUGUUCGUUAAUUUGUUCGGAACCAGGCUAGCCAGAAGGGGACACGCGUUAUGUUUUUAACUAAACUACGAUACGUGUCUGGUUCCUACACUUUCAGUAUAUAAAACUUUUAUUUUUUUUUUAUUGUUAAUCUCUCCACCUCACCUCAUCUCUCUCAAUCUCUCGCUCUUCUCUCUCUCUGAAAUCUCUCUCCCGUAAUCUCUCUCUCGGAUUUCCUCUCCCUCGCACAAUCUCCUCUUACUCGAUCUCUCUCCACUCUCACUUUCCGACGCCGCCAUUUACCGCCCCAGUCGCCGCUGGUUCCUCGUUUUCCGGCCGCCCCUGCUUCCAGUCGCCGCGCUGCUCCGACCCCGGGCACCACCGGCUUCAAUCUCUCCCUCUUCCUCCGGAUCGAGCAUUGAGAGCGUGCUACCAAGCAAAGGCAGGAAAAGGUGAGAGUUGUAUAGCGGUUCAGUAGUUACAGAUUGUUCGAGACAAAUAGAACCAGACGUUGGGGAUCAAGAUUAAAGUUAGAUAAGAUUUCGUAUCAGGCUGCAGCAACCGCAUGAGCGACAUAGCAAAGAAUCAGGAAUAGUUGAUGGUGAUGUCUUGAGAAAGCAGAAUAAGAUAAGGAUGUUAGCUAAGAGUGUAUAAGCUAAGGACCAAAGCUAAGGCUAGAGAUGGAUUAUCAGAUUAGGCUGCGUAUGAGAGUGAUGCUAAGCUGCAAGGAUUCUAAGUGGUUAAGUACAUCAGAGAUCAGGGGCUAAAAAAAAUUAUAUUGACAUCAAUAAUUCAGCGGGGGCUGGAAAAAAAAUUUACACUGUUUUUUCGAGGUUAGGGGGGGCUCUAGCAUCCCCUAGCCCCCCUCUGGUUCCGCCACUGACUGCCGGAGUACGUACUCGCACCAUCUCAUUAUGUACGUAUGCACAAUAUCUCAAAAAUGUAAAUCUCCAGACGCUCAGGGGUACAGUGACAGCAAAAGGUUUAAAAAUCCGAAAUUGCAGUCUUUGCAUGUGAGUGAGUGUGAGACUAUGUUAACGUACAUAUAAUUGUUCUUUUUUCCCACAAUUUUCUAUUAUAUCGCCAGAAAGCCUGUACUCUAUUCGCUAAGUACGCACUACGCAGUAUGUCUCCUCUUAAUUUCGUUUGCACGUAGACAGUAGACUCGCAUAUGCAUGUAUUAGUAUUUAUAUACGCGCACAUUAUUAUAUUUAUUCAAAAGGAGUAUGUUUUUUUAUAUUAA